UGGGGAAUAUUGCGCAAUGGGCGAAAGCCUGACGCAGCGACGCCGCGUGAGGGAUGAAGGUUUUCGGAUCGUAAACCUCUGUCGGAAGGGAAGAAGGCGCACCGUGCCAAUCAGCGGUGUGUUGACGGUACCUUCAAAGGAAGCGCCGGCUAACUCCGUGCCAGCAGCCGCGGUAAUACGGAGGGCGCAAGCGUUAAUCGGAAUUACUGGGCGUAAAGCGCGCGUAGGCUGUUUCGUAAGUCAGGGGUGAAAUCCCACGGCUCAACCGUGGAACUGCCUUUGAUACUGCGGGACUUGAAUCCGGGAGAGGGUGGCGGAAUUCCAGGUGUAGGAGUGAAAUCCGUAGAUAUCUGGAGGAACACCGGUGGCGAAGGCGGCCACCUGGCCCGGUAUUGACGCUCAGGCACGAAAGCGUGGGGAGCAAAUAGGAUUAGAUACC
rnacentral:rRNA from 1 species